CGGACGGGUGAGUAAUGCUUAGGAAUCUGCCUAUUAGUGGGGGACAACAUUCCGAAAGGAAUGCUAAUACCGCAUACGCCCUACGGGGGAAAGCAGGGGAUCUUCGGACCUUGCGCUAAUAGAUGAGCCUAAGUCAGAUUAGCUAGUUGGUGGGGUAAAGGCCUACCAAGGCGACGAUCUGUAGCGGGUCUGAGAGGAUGAUCCGCCACACUGGGACUGAGACACGGCCCAGACUCCUACGGGAGGCAGCAGUGGGGAAUAUUGGACAAUGGGCGAAAGCCUGAUCCAGCCAUGCCGCGUGUGUGAAGAAGGCCUUUUGGUUGUAAAGCACUUUAAGCGAGGAGGAGGCUACUUGGAUUAAUACUCUAGGAUAGUGGACGUUACUCGCAGAAUAAGCACCGGCUAACUCUGUGCCAGCAGCCGCGGUAAUACAGAGGGUGCGAGCGUUAAUCGGAUUUACUGGGCGUAAAGCGUGCGUAGGCGGCUUUUUAAGUCGGAUGUGAAAUCCCUGAGCUUAACUUAGGAAUUGCAUUCGAUACUGGGAAGCUAGAGUAUGGGAGAGGAUGGUAGAAUUCCAGGUGUAGCGGUGAAAUGCGUAGAGAUCUGGAGGAAUACCGAUGGCGAAGGCAGCCAUCUGGCCUAAUACUGACGCUGAGGUACGAAAGCAUGGGGAGCAAACAGGAUUAGAUACCCUGGUAGUCCAUGCCGUAAACGAUGUCUACUA
rnacentral:rRNA from 1 species